CUACGGGACGCAGCAGUGGGGAAUAUUGCACAAUGGAGGAAACUCUGAUGCAGCAACGCCGCGUGGAGGAUGACACUUUUCGGAGCGUAAACUCCUUUUAUAUAGGAAGAAGAUGACGGUACUAUAUGAAUAAGCGCCGGCUAACUCCGUGCCAGCAGCCGCGGUAAUACGGAGGGCGCAAGCGCUACUCGGAAUCACUGGGCGUAAAGAGCGUGUAGGCGGAUUAAAAAGUCAGAAGUGAAAUCCUAUAGCUUAACUAUAGAACUGCUUCUGAAACUCUUAAGCUAGAAUAUGGGAGAGGAAGAUGGAAUUUCUGGUGUAGGGGUAAAAUCCGUAGAGAUCAGAAGGAAUACCGAUUGCGAAGGCGAUCUACUAGAACAGUAUUGACGCUGAGACGCGAAAGCGUGGGGAGCAAACAGGAUUAGAUACCCCAGUAGUC
rnacentral:rRNA from 1 species